rnacentral:lncRNA from 13 species
CUUCUCAUCAUUAUCCCUCCCUACUUCCAUUCCAGAUUCUACAUUCUCCGUUUCUAUGUUAUUUCCCGUCCCUCCGAAGAAAAAGAAAGAAUUCCCCUCGUUUUCCAUUUUGUUGUUCCUCUUACACAUCUGGUAUUUACAUGUCUCCCUCUCCUCCCUCUCCAUCCUCCCCUCCCUGUGACUUUUGUCUCCAUCCCCAUCUCCCUUCCUCCGACAAACGCUCCUAUUAUACCCACUCUGUCUAUCUCCUCUCUUCCUCUCUCUUUAUCUCUCUCUCCCACCCACUCACUCCUUACUAACAAUAAACUGGAGACGAGUCAUCGGAACAGGAGCCAUUCUCCUCGGGACAUCGACGGCCCCCUCAGCACUGCAGGCACGCAGGCAGGCAGGCAGGAAAAUCCCACUGGAACCUUCACAGCUGGAACAGCCGACCACAUGCCAGCCCUAAAUGACAACAAAAUUGCCGUGAUUCUCUUCAUGGUGGCAGAGAAGUGGCACAGCAAUGGUGAGUAAGGGGGCAUUGCACUGCGCCCACCACCGCCUACCCACUGUGCAUCAUGCUGGAUUGCCUUACCAAUUAUGAUGCUUCCCGAAAUGGUACGAGUCCCACAGUCCCGCUGCUAACCCACUGACACAACCCACUAUUUCCUAUACACAGGCAAUUUAAAAAGGGAUAUUUCACAGGGUACGUGGUGGGCUUAUUUGGCCAUUGGUGGUCUCACCGAGCUCCUAACCACUUAUUGUCAUGCAGUGUGCAGUGGCACCGGCACUGCAAGAGCAUCUUAUUAGAAUGAUUCGAGGUAUGUGCCUCCCUGGAACGGAUCCCUAAUGAAUCGAAUAUCACAUUAGCGCCAAAUCCUUACCGCCGCAAUAUCACACAGCAACUGACCCUAAAACAGUUUUACAACGCCCACUCGCCAAGAAUAGUUUUUUAUUGGCAGGGAUAAAACCUGCCAUUUACUACUUAAUCGAAUCAUCUGUCCCGCGAAUCAAUCCACCUCGAUCACCGCCUGUUUCCAUCCUUUUCCUUCCAUCCUCCUCCUCCCUCUUGCCAUCUGUCUCUCUUUCUCCCACUCCCUCUCUCUAUGCACCCUUCUUCAAUCAUAUUCUCAUAACUCUUAUUCUCUCUGGCCUGUCCACUUUCAUAUACUCUUUAUCUCUCUAGCUCCUUCCCCCUAUCUCCCACUCACUCCCUUUGAAUUAAACAGUACAUAGUAGA